rnacentral:rRNA from 1 species
AGGUUACUGCUAUCGGUGUUCGUCUAAGCCAUGCGAGUCAUAUGUAGCAAUACAUGGCGUACUGCUCAGUAACACGUGGAUAACCUGCCCUUGGGUCCGGCAUAACCCCGGGAAACUGGGGAUAAUUCCGGAUAACGCACAUAUGCUGGAAUGCUUUAUGCGUCAAAUGGAUUCGUCCGCCCAAGGAUGGGUCUGCGGCCUAUCAGGUAGUAGUGGGUGUAAUGUACCUACUAGCCUACGACGGGUACGGGUUGUGAGAGCAAGAGCCCGGAGAUGGAUUCUGAGACAUGAAUCCAGGCCCUACGGGGCGCAGCAGGCGCGAAAACUUUACAAUGCGGGAAACCGUGAUAGGGGGACACCGAGUGCCAGCAUCAUAUGCUGGCUGUCCGGGUGUGUAAAAUACACCUGUUAGCAAGGGCCGGGCAAGACCGGUGCCAGCCGCCGCGGUAACACCGGCGGCCCGAGUGGUGAUCGUGAUUAUUGGGUCUAAAGGGUCCGUAGCCGGUUUGGUCAGUCCUCCGGGAAAUCUGACGGCUUAACCGUUAGGCUUUCGGGGGAUACUGCCAGACUUGGAACCGGGAGAGGUAAGAGGUACUACAGGGGUAGGAGUGAAAUCUUGUAAUCCCUGUGGGACCACCUGUGGCGAAGGCGUCUUACCAGAACGGGUUCGACGGUGAGGGACGAAAGCUGGGGGCACGAACCGGAUUAGAUACCCGGGUAGUCCCAGCCGUAAACGAUGCUCGCCAGGUGUCAGGCAUGGCGCGACCGUGUCUGGUGCCGCAGGGAAGCCGUGAAGCGAGCCACCUGGGAAGUACGGCCGCAAGGCUGAAACUUAA